UACAGAGGUCUCAAGCGUUGUUCGGAUUCAUUGGGCGUAAAGGGUGCGUAGGUGGCGCUGUAAGUCGGGUGUGAAAUUUCGGAGCUUAACUCCGAAACUGCAUUCGAUACUGCGGUGCUUGAGGACUGGAGAGGAGACUGGAAUUCAUGGUGUAGCAGUGAAAUGCGUAGAGAUCAGGAAGAACAUCGGUGGCGAAGGCGCUCUGCUGGACCAUAACUGACACUCAGGGACGAAAGCUAGGGGAGCGAAUGGG
rnacentral:rRNA from 1 species